UACGGGGGGGGCAAGCGUUGUUCGGAAUUACUGGGCGUAAAGGGUUCGUAGGUUGCCAACUAAGUCAUACGUGAAAUCCCUCAGCUUAACUGGGGAACUGCGUCUGAUACUGGUUGGCUUGAGUGCAGGAGAGGAACGCGGAAUUCCAGGUGUAGCGGUGAAAUGCGUAGAUAUCUGGAGGAACACCGGUGGCGAAGGCGGCGUUCUGGACUGCAACUGACACUGAGGAACGAAAGCCAGGGGAGCAAACGGGA
rnacentral:rRNA from 1 species